CCCCCCCCCGCCGCGCGCCCUCCCUCCACCCUCCCAACCCCAGCCAUCCCCUCUGCUGUCCGCCUUGAAGCCCCCGGCACCGGUUGAGCUGUGAAACCAUUCAAGAUCGCGGAUGAGACAAAUACCGUCUUACACGUGCAUCUUGUACUGUUGUGAAAUUCAUCAAAAGGAGACCUGGAUUCGAUCCCUGGGUCGGGAAGAUUCCCCGGAGAAAGGUAUGGCAAUACUCCACUCCAGUAUUCUUGCCUGGAGAACCCAUGGAUAGAGGAGCCUGGCGGACUACAGUUCGUGGGGCGCAAAGAGCCGGACAUGACUGAAGCGACUGACAAUGCUACACUGCCAGGGGGCCAGCAGCAAGUCAGAAAGAGGCUUGAUCCUGGCCCCAGGGGGAAAAGGGGA